GGCGCCUCUGUCCGCGGACGAACCUCUACACGCGCACGGUCGAGUCGAUCGACCUGAAGAACAAGGUCGUCACCGUGAGCUCAGGGUUCCGCCCGAGACCGCUGACGCUCGAGUACGACCAUCUCGUCAUCGCGCUCGGGAACAUGACGAGCUUCUCGGGCCAGCCCGGCCUGGCCGAGAACGCGCUGCCGUUCAAGUACCUCGGAGACGCGCUCGUCCUGCGCAACCACAUCAUCCACGCGCUCGAAGAGGCGGAUAUCGAGAGCGAUCCUGACGUCCGCCGUGCGCUCCUGACGUUCGUGGUCGCGGGCGGCGGAUUCUCCGGCGUCGAGGCGAUCGCCGAGCUGAACGACUUCGUCCGCGAGGGCGCGAAGAGCUUCCGCAACAUCGACCGCAACGA
rnacentral:misc_RNA from 1 species